CUCCAAACAGGCUUCGGUCGGCCGGCGCCCGAUCGUCCGGCUUCGGAAGCCGGUCUCCUGCCUCGGCUCGGCUUUGUUGACUCGCCGCUCCUAGUCGUCGUCGUCGUCGUCGCCGUCGCCGUCGUCGCUUCAAGGAGAACGAAGCACCCCACCUUCGACGCUCGAGAUUCUCCAUCAAAGCCUUCUCAGAAAUCCUCAAGCUCCUCUCGCUAGCUCGGCCAUGUUCGGUGCUCGCGACGCCUUCGCCGCGUGAUCUUCAGCUGCUACGGUGGUUUCCCCCGCCGGCUCCGGAGAGACGAUGGUGAGCAAGUUCCUCUGCGACUUCCGGUGGUUCCUCCUCCUCGCCGUGGCGGUGGCGUUGAUCCACAUCCAGAGAUGCUCCAGCAUCAAGCAAUGUACAUAUGUAUGUAGCAGUCAUGUUGGCUUCCGUGAUCAAUUCUUCUUGCGUUGAUGUGUCUUUUCACGACACAAUUGGAACAUGCUGAUCAACUUGCUGCUGCUGGAAGUCUCCAUCCUAUUACCUCAUCCUGGAUGGUGUACCAAGGACAGCAUGUGAAGGAGCAGUA